CCAUUGAAAAACAACAACAUUUCCCAUUCAAAAUUUUCUUUAUAUAGCCUCAAAAUUUGCUCAAGAACUCAUCGCUUGUUGAAAAGAGAGAAAAAUUGGAGAAAAAAUGGUGAGGAUCACUCCUAAGGUUGCAAUGGUGAGCGUCAUGUUCGUGUUGCUACUCACAAGCUCUUGCUUCCUUAUUCAUGCCAACCGACCCUUGCUUCAAGUGAAGAAUCAACACCAAUUUGAGAUUGAGGAUGAUAAUAAAGUUGAUGUGAAUAAUAAACAUCACGAGUGUCCUCGGAGUAGUUAUCCGUGUUGGAAGAUAGAUGCAGACGCUG